GGAGUGGGAGAGAGAAAUGAAAAACCUCCCAGUCCAGAGCGGCACAAAGAAGUUGUAGAUGACGAGAAGGGUGGCGUCACUGGGACCCCUUAUGGGAGGCAGAGACGUUUGCUUUCACCACCACCAACGUGAGACGUCAGCACAGAAGUGACCGACUGUCCAACUCACCAGUGGAGCAAAGAAAAGCCAACUGGAGGAACAAAAGAGUUCCACGGUCAGACAAGAGCACAGGGGGCAGUGGAAAGCCUGGACGAGAACAUAAUGUUUUUGUCUUCACAGGCACGCUGUGAAGAGUAGCCUUCCCUGGUGACUCCUUCAGAGAGAAGAAACCAGCAUAGAAGCACUUCUUGCCUGCAGGCGUUUCAAUCAGAAGGGUAAAGCAACGCUGUGUGGCUUUGCCAGGUGAGAAGUACACAACAAGGACCACAGUGUUAAGAAAAAAAAAAAAAACAGUGAAGACCACCAAGAAGUACGAACAAAAGUUUGUGUUCAGCAGCACUUCCAGUGAGACCAUGGAGGUGAAAGAGGAAGUCCUGGACAUCCUUCAUCGCGUGUGGGCCAAACUACAGGGCCUGCCUGAAGCCAACUCAUUGGAGAUCGGAGCCUUCUUCAUCCUCCUCCUCUUCGUCGCAACCUUCCUGAUGCUGAUCGUGCUGUCAUGCAUCCACUGCUGCUGCUGUGGGAAACCCAAAUACCAGGCCGCCAGAAUCCAGCCCGUUUGAAACCAACCUGCUUCCAGGCCACCGUAGGCUGGAUCAUAACCUCCUCUUAUACAAGAGGACAACUAUGUGUUGUGCUUGUGCCUCACAUGUGAGAAAUGGACUACACCACCACAGUUUUGAACUUGAUUGCUUAUUGGCUGUUACAGCCUUCCUUGUUCCUGGUUGGGAGGAAUUAUAGAUGUAAGUAUUGUUGAAGGAGUGUCUUUGUACACAAUUGUACCACUGUGAUGAUCUGUGUAAUUAUCAGUAUUCUCCUUAUUACCGAGUAUUUCCCUAGUUCUGUAUCCAGGGUGACAUGUGGAAAGUGAAGAAAUAGACACCAACAGCGCCCUCUGUGGGACAUUAAACAGAAGAGCCCAGGUCACAGAUAAUAUUGUACAGAGCAAAUAACACCAGUCCAAAUAGAAGGGAUGGUGCUUCUGUAAUGAACCAUAUAAAUGUAAUGUGUUUGUUUGUUAACCAUGUUGUAAUAGAACAUAUUUACUGUAAAGUCUUUGACCAAAACAGAAGAAAAUAUAAUUUUACUUUCUUCAUCUUUGUAAAGUAAGGCCUUACAAAUGUAUUAGCACAAACUGACAGCACAUGUUAUCUGUGGGAUAAUGGAUAUGAUCUUGUAAAACAUGUAUCAGAGACGCUGGAAACAGUCGGAUCAACUCCUCAGCUGACACGGCCUACACAGAAUCCACACAGGUUUUGUUGUUGUUUUAUGUGAGAAAACUGUAUUUUGGUUUGUUUGUUUUUUACAGCAAGAGCAUCAGUGCUUGUCUAAUGUACAAGGGCCACAAUGCUUUAGCUGAGCUGAAAAUAAAAACUUGUUGUUAAAAUGUGA